GGAUAUAUGACCGAGUGGUUUAAGGUAUAAUAUUUGAGCUAUUACGUACUUUUAGUAGUACCAAGGGUUCGAAUCCCUUUUUAUCCG
rnacentral:tRNA from 1 species